UGGAAAUGACCAGAAGGAUGGUAUGGCUGAAUAUAUAUAUAUAUAUAUAUAUAUAUAUAUAUAUAUGUGUGUGUGUGUGUGUGUGUGUGUGUGUGUGUGUGUGUCCCAAUAUCAUUCCAA